UGGGGUUUUACCCCAAACUUAGAAUUUCAACACAGCUUAAUAAUAUCAACUUGACUCUGAACAAGGUAAGGAAGUGUUUUGGCCACGGGGUAGAUUUACGGGGUUAAACAAAAAAAUGGAUACAGGCUCAAAUGGGGUUUACAAGGGAUAAAAUUAUUGGGACGACUGGAAAGGCUUAAGGUUAUAUUCAAACAACGUGCCUCAGUGUGUGUAGUCAUGCAAUGAUAGUCCCAGAGAAUCUACACAGAUUUAGAGUGAUAAAGACAUACCAGAAUAUCGCUCAUG
rnacentral:lncRNA from 1 species